UUUCCAACUUAUAUACGAUUUGUUAAAAAAAAAAAACUAUACUACUGUAUUUUCUAAGAUAGACUUAUAUGUAAAUCUAUGAUGAGCAUAAGACUCUAUAAGAGGAAACAAACGAGCAUACGAUUACUUGGACUUCUUAGGAUAAUGAGAUAUGUUAAUGAGUGGGAAUGUCAUUUUUAACCUAAUUGAUAAACAAAACUAUAACAUCAGAAAGGAGUAAAGGACAGAUGGUAAUCAGUGAUGCAUCUUCUCUUUAAAUUGGCCUAAAAAAAUAAAAAUGAACCGUGUUCCAUUAUAAAGGAUGAACACGACGUGCCACAUCAUUAUACCCGCUCCUCUAAACUUUGAAUCAAAGACGUUUCGCGAACCACCGUGACAUACCAACACACAUAUCAGACAA
rnacentral:lncRNA from 1 species